AUUGAACGCUGGCGGCAUGCCUUACACAUGCAAGUCGAACGGUAGAGGGGGCAACCCCUUGAGAGUGGCGAACGGGUGAGUAAUAUAUCGGAACGUGCCCAGUCGUGGGGAUAACGUAGCGAAAGUUACGCUAAUACCGCAUACGAUCUACGGAUGAAAGCGGGGGACUCGCAAGAGCCUCGCGCGAUUGGAGCGGCCGAUAUCAGAUUAGGUAGUUGGUGGGGUAAAGGCUCACCAAGCCAACGAUCUGUAGCUGGUCUGAGAGGACGACCAGCCACACUGGAACUGAGACACGGUCCAGACUCCUACGGGAGGCAGCAGUGGGGAAUUUUGGACAAUGGACGCAAGUCUGAUCCAGCCAUUCCGCGUGCAGGAUGAAGGCCCUCGGGUUGUAAACUGCUUUUGUACGGAACGAAAAGGUUUCUAUUAAUACUAGGAGCUCAUGACGGUACCGUAAGAAUAAGCACCGGCUAACUACGUGCCAGCAGCCGC
rnacentral:rRNA from 1 species